rnacentral:piRNA from 1 species
UGUUUUCAGUUGAAGGUAUGCCUGUAUC